UCAGGUGCCUAUAUCGGCGGUGUCCACCUCUUCCCAUUCCGAACAGAGAAGUUAAGCCCGCCAGAGCCAAUGGUACUGCCGUAACAGGUGGGAGAGUAGGUCGGUGCCCAAUUUUAAACGAAAGCUCAGUACUUCAUUGUACUGGGCUUUUUUUGUGGACCGUG
rnacentral:rRNA from 1 species